rnacentral:rRNA from 1 species
AUUGAACGCUGGCGGCAUGCCUAACACAUGCAAGUCGAGCGGUUGAGGGGAGCUUUCUCCUGUUUUCAGCUUCGGACGGGUGUGUAAUUCCUAUGAAUCUGCCUGUUAUUUUUGUAUAACGUCCGUAAACGGGCGCUAAUACCGCAUACGUCCUGAGUUUGAAAGUUGGGGUUCUUCGGACCUCACGCUUUCUGCUUAGCCUAGGUCGGAUUAGCUAGUUGGUGUGGUAAAGGCCUACCAAGGCGACGAUCCGUAACUGGUCUGAGAGGAUGAUCAGUCAAACUGGAACUGAGAAACGGACCAGAGUACUACGGGAGGCAGCAGUGGGGAAUAUUGGACAAUGGGCGAAAGGAUGAUACAGGAAAGCCGAGUGUGUGAAGAAGGUCUUAGGAUUGUAAAGAAAUGUAAGGUGGGAGGAAGGGAAGUAAGAUAAAAAAAAGAUGUAAUGACGUUACCAAAAGAAAAAGCACCGGCUAACUACGUG